rnacentral:rRNA from 1 species
AGAGUUUGAUCCUGGCUCAGGAUGAACGCUGGCGGCGUGCUUAACACAUGCAAGUCGAACGGACGUAAGGGGCUUGCUCCUUACGUUAGUGGCGGACGGGUGAGUAACGCGUGAGCAAUCUGCCCAUAUCAGGGGAAUAACAGUUAGAAAUGACUGCUAAUACCGCAUAAGACCACAGAGAGGCAUCUCUCAGGGGUAAAAGAUUUUAUCGGAUAUGGAUGAGCUCGCGUCCCAUUAGGCAGUUGGCGGGGUAACGGCCCACCAAACCGAUGAUGGGUAGCCGGCCUUAGAGGGUGAUCGGCCACAUUGGAACUGAGACACGGUCCAAACUCCUACGGGAGGCAGCAGUGGGGAAUAUUGGGCAAUGGAGGCAACUCUGACCCAGCAACGCCGCGUGAGCGAUGAAGGUCUUCGGAUUGUAAAGCUCUUUAAGUGGGGACGAAGAAAGUGACUGUACCCACAGAAUAAGCCUCGGCUAACUACGUGCCAGCAGCCGCGGUAAUACGUAGGAGGCAAGCGUUAUCCGGAAUGACUGGGCGUAAAGGGUGCGUAGGUGGUUCGGCAAGUUGGUAGCGUAAUUCCAGGGCUUAACUUUGGCGCUACUACCAAAACUGCCGGGCUUGAGUGCAGGAGGGGUGAACGGAAUUCCUAGUGUAGCGGUGGAAUGCGUAGAUAUUAGGAAGAACACCAGCGGCGAAGGCGGUUCACUGGAAUGUAAACUGACACUGAGGCACGAAAGCGUGGGGAGCAAACAGGAUUAGAUACCCUGGGUAGUCCACGCCGUAAACGAUGAAUACUAG